rnacentral:lncRNA from 1 species
AGUUAUUGUCAUGGGAAGGAAUGAAGAAAAUUAGAGAUCCAAUCAAAUAUUGGUGAUGAAUCCCUCUCCCCCUCUUUUCUCUUUUUUCCCUUCUUAGAAUAAGGGAGGAAAGAGAAAGAAUAAAAAAAGUCGAUUCAACAUUCGGGCUCAAGUUCGAAUUAACUGAAUAUUAAUCAUAGAGGAAUGGGGGUAGAAUAAAAAAUGGGGGUUUAGGGCAAG